rnacentral:rRNA from 1 species
UACGUAGGGGGCAAGCGUUGUCUGGAAUCAUUGGGCGUAAAGAGCGUGUAGGCGGCCCGAUAAGUCCGCUGUGAAAGUCCAGGGCUCAACCCUGGAAUGCCGGUGGAUACUGUCGGGCUCGAAUCCGGAAGAGGUGAGUGGAAUUCCUGGUGUAGCGGUGAAAUGCGCAGAUAUCAGGAGGAACACCAAUGGCGAAGGCAGCUCACUGGGACGGUAUUGACGCUAAGGCGCGAAAGCGUGGGGAGCGAACAGG